UUUGGUGCUUGAAUUUUAUUUGUUUUUGAGGAAAGGUAUUUGGGAAUUUAAAUUUUUCUUUGAGGAAGGAGACGAUUGAGAAUCUUUAUUUUGGGGAGAUUAGAAUUUUUCAAAGUGUUUUAACCAGAAUUCAUCUGGAAUUAAAUUCAUAUUAAUUAUCGAUUUUACUCCACUGUUUAUUAUUUUGACGAUAAUUUAAUAUAUGAUUUCUUGAUACAUAUAUUCAUAAAAAUUUUAAAAUCAAAUUUGAUCUCUUGUUGAUGAAUCUAUCUCGGUUGUAAGUGUUGAAUAUGAUGGAUAGAUAUUCACUAAUCGACUAAAAUUUUGUUAAAAUUACUUUCAAUUGUGAGAUUGUCUAAUUAAGGGAGAGUUUUGAUGUAUUUAAUAAAAAAAGGAAAGAUACUCCUAUGUUUAAAAAAUGUGGAAAGAGUUACAUCUCAAAAGGAGUAUGAAAACUACCACCACAUGUAGGAAAGAGCUACCACCUCGGUCGUCCGGCAAGUGUGUGAAGCUACCAUAUGAAGAUUGAAUUGAUUAACCGAAAAGGUUGGAAAAAAUUGAAUAUUUUAGAAUUUUCGGAGUUAUAAGGUGUUAGUCUGAAAAAGAUGCUCAAAGAGCCACCCCCGGUAUCAUAUUAGUUAAAUCUCUAUUUUGAACGGAUUGUGACAAAUUGGCGU
rnacentral:lncRNA from 1 species